UACGUAGGGGGCAAGCGUUAAUCGGAAUUACUGGGCGUAAAGCGUGCGCAGGCGGUUUUGUAAGUCUGUCGUGAAAUCCCCGGGCUCAACCUGGGAAUGGCGAUGGUGACUGCAAGGCUAGAGUUUGGCAGAGGGGGGUAGAAUUCCACGUGUAGCAGUGAAAUGCGUAGAUAUGUGGAGGAACACCGAUGGCGAAGGCAGCCCCCUGGGUCAAAACUGACGCUCAUGCACGAAAGCGUGGGGAGCAAACAGG
rnacentral:rRNA from 1 species